UAAGAUGUUUUAACUUAUUAACAGCAAACUAACAUUAUUCAUGUCGGAGUUGGGGCCUUUUUUUCUGAUGACGGCCGGAUUAACGCCGUCAUAAAUUGAUAAGGUCGACUGUUUAGAUGUCGUCGACAACGUCUGAGGUGUAUUUUGGAGCCUCUUCUUGUGAAUGCCAUAGUUUCGAUGAUACAUCAACUGUUUGUGAUCAUGUUGUCUGCAUCGGAGGAGUAUUGGAGACUUUUCCUGUGAUUGCCGUCGACUCGUAACAGGAGAUUUCUCCAAGCAAAAACAGGAUCCUGAAUGUGAGGGCAGAAUCAUCAUACAGCCAGCUGUCCGUUUUACAGAAAUGCAGAAUUAGAAGUCAGGCUGGUUGGAGGUUCUCGCUGCUCUGGGAGGUUAGAGAUCCUUCAUGAUCAGUCGUGGAUGUCAGUGUGUGACGCUGUCUUUGACCAGCAGGAUGCAGAGGUUGUGUGUAGAGAGCUGGACUGUGGGGCUCCUGUACAGGUGCUGGGAGCAGCUGCUUUUGACAAAGGAGACACUCAGAUGUGGACACAAGAGAUUCAGUGCAGAGGAAAUGAGUCUCAGAUUCACCUCUGUCCAACAUCAUCAUUCAGA